GAUGAACGCUGGCGGCGUGCUUAACACAUGCAAGUCGAACGGGAAACCUUUUAUUGAAGCUUCGGCAGAUUUAGCUGGUUUCUAGUGGCGGACGGGUGAGUAACGCGUGGGUAACCUGCCUUAUACAGGGGGAUAACAGUCAGAAAUGACUGCUAAUACCGCAUAAGCGCACAGAGCUGCAUGGCUCGGUGUGAAAAACUCCGGUGGUAUAAGAUGGACCCGCGUUGGAUUAGCUGGUUGGUGAGGUAACGGCCCACCAAGGCGACGAUCCAUAGCCGGCCUGAGAGGGUGAACGGCCACAUUGGGACUGAGACACGGCCCAGACUCCUACGGGAGGCAGCAGUGGGGAAUAUUGCACAAUGGGGGAAACCCUGAUGCAGCGACGCCGCGUGAAGGAAGAAGUAUCUCGGUAUGUAAACUUCUAUCAGCAGGGAAGAAU
rnacentral:rRNA from 1 species